GAGGGUAUAGCUCAGUGGUAGAGCACAUGCUUAGCAUGCACGAGGUCCUGGGUUCAAUCCCCAGUACCUCCA
rfam:Camelus ferus unplaced genomic scaffold scaffold1590, whole genome shotgun sequence.